rnacentral:lncRNA from 1 species
CAUGAGGAUAAAUGGAAGCAGAGGUUGGUGCUGGCAGGGGCCCCGCUGAUCUGGGCGUCCUCAGAGGAUUCGCUACAAGCAUUGUCUUUAGUGUCAGAUCUAAGGUGCGAUUGUCCUGGAGCUACUGCUCUCUGCCCUGCCAUCACUAGACACCAGUGCUUUCCCGGAUGUGAUGUAGGAUUCUUUCUAUAAUGCCCAGGACAGUGCCCCAAAGAAACGAAAAGGAAAAGACCAGAGUGGGUAAGUGAUGCUCAGUGGGGUAGUUUGGAAUUAGCCAGAGGGAUUCUUUUCAGAGCUUCUCCACUUCUAGCUUCAUCUCCAGUGUUUCAGCAACCAGAGCAAGAGCCACCUCCAGAAGCCCCUUCGCUGACGGUACCUACGCACAGGUAUUGCCUGAGAAUAACUUGUGAUCAGGGCACCAGAACUGGGGGUGCCCAGGGUCCAUGGC